GGCCUAAACUGCUCGAGGACGAGUAGCAUGGCCAAAAAAAACCGAUCAGGGUAUUGAGCUCCUCGUCAGAGCACCCUGAUCGGUCAUAUCCCGAAAGGGAUAUGGGUGGCGCAAGCCAUC
rnacentral:sRNA from 1 species